AACCACCAAUGCAAAGUCGAGCGGUAGCACAGGGGAGCUUGCUCCCCGGGUGACGAGCGGCGGACGGGUGAGUAAUGUCUGGGAAACUGCCUGAUGGAGGGGGAUAACUACUGGAAACGGUAGCUAAUACCGCAUAACGUCGCAAGACCAAAGAGGGGGACCUUCGGGCCUCUUGCCAUCAGAUGUGCCCAGAUGGGAUUAGCUAGUAGGUGGGGUAAUGGCUCACCUAGGCGACGAUCCCUAGCUGGUCUGAGAGGAUGACCAGCCACACUGGAACUGAGACACGGUCCAGACUCCUACGGGAGGCAGCAGUGGGGAAUAUUGCACAAUGGGCGCAAGCCUGAUGCAGCCAUGCCGCGUGUGUGAAGAAGGCCUUCGGGUUGUAAAGCACUUUCAGCGAGGAGGAAGGUGGUGAGCUUAAUACGCUCAUCAAUUGACGUUACUCGCAGAAGAAGCACCGGCUAACUCCGUGCCAGCAGCCGCGGUAAUACGGAGGGUGCAAGCGUUAAUCGGAAUUACUGGGCGUAAAGCGCACGCAGGCGGUUUGUUAAGUCAGAUGUGAAAUCCCCGGGCUCAACCUGGGAACUGCAUUUGAAACUGGCAAGCUAGAGUCUCGUAGAGGGGGGUAGAAUUCCAGGUGUAGCGGUGAAAUGCGUAGAGAUCUGGAGGAAUACCGGUGGCGAAGGCGGCCCCCUGGACGAAGACUGACGCUCAGGUGCGAAAGCGUGGGGAGCAAACAGGAUUAGAUACCCUGGUAGUCCACGCUGUAAACGAUGUCGAUUUGGAGGUUGUGCCCUUGAGGCGUGGCUUCCGGAGCUAACGCGUUAAAUCGACCGCCUGGGGAGUACGGCCGCAAGGUUAAAACUCAAAUGAAUUGACGGGGGCCCGCACAAGCGGUGGAGCAUGUGGUUUAAUUCGAUGCAACGCGAAGAACCUUACCUACUCUUGACAUCCAGAGAACUUAGCAGAGAUGCUUUGGGUGCCUUUCGGGAAACUCUGAGACAGGGUGCUGCAUGGGCUGUCGUCAGCCUCGUCGUUGCUGCAAAUGUUAGGUUAGUUCCAGCAACGAGGCGCAACUCUUAAUCCUUUGUUGCUAGGCCGAUUCCGGCCGGGGAACUCGAAGGAUACUGGCAGUGAUAAACCUGAAGAAGGUGGGAUGGACGUCAGUUCAUCAUGGUCUCGUUGACGGAGUCAGGGCUAUACAUCACCU
rnacentral:rRNA from 1 species